rnacentral:rRNA from 1 species
CUAGCCAUGGGCAGGUUGAAGGUUGGGUAACACUAACUGGAGGACCGAACCGACUAAUGUUGAAAAAUUAGCGGAUGACCUGUGGCUGGGGGUGAAAGGCCAAUCAAACCGGGAGAUAGCUGGUUCUCCCCGAAAGCUAUUUAGGUAGCGCCUCGUGAACUCAUCUCCGGGGGUAGAGCACUGUUUCGGCUAGGGGGCCAUCCCGGCUUACCAACCCGAUGCAAACUGCGAAUACCGGAGAAUGUUAUCACGGGAGACACACGGCGGGUGCUAACGUCCGUCGUGAAGAGGGAAACAACCCAGACCGCCAGCUAAGGUCCCAAAGUCAUGGUUAAGUGGGAAACGAUGUGGGAAGGCCCAGACAGCCAGGAUGUUGGCUUAGAAGCAGCCAUCAUUUAAAGAAAGCGUAAUAGCUCACUGGUCGAGUCGGCCUGCGCGGAAGAUGUAACGGGGCUAAACCAUGCACCGAAGCUGCGGCAGCGACGCUUAUGCGUUGUUGGGUAGGGGAGCGUUCUGUAAGCCUGUGAAGGUGUGCUGUGAGGCAUGCUGGAGGUAUCAGAAGUGCGAAUGCUGACAUAAGUAACGAUAAAGCGGGUGAAAAGCCCGCUCGCCGGAAGACCAAGGGUUCCUGUCCAACGUUAAUCGGGGCAGGGUGAGUCGACCCCUAAGGCGAGGCCGAAAGGCGUAGUCGAUGGGAAACAGGUUAAUAUUCCUGUACUUGGUGUUACUGCGAAGGGGGGACGGAGAAGGCUAUGUCGGCCGGGCGACGGUUGUCCCGGUUUAAGCGUGUAGGCUGACUUUCCAGGCAAAUCCGGAAGGUUAAGGCUGAGGCGUGAUGACGAGGCACUACGGUGCUGAAGUGACAAAUGCCCUGCUUCCAGGAAAAGCCUCUAAGCAUCAGGUAACAUCAAAUCGUACCCCAAACCGACACAGGUGGUCAGGUAGAGAAUACCAAGGCGCUUGAGAGAACUCGGGUGAAGGAACUAGGCAAAAUGGUGCCGUAACUUCGGGAGAAGGCACGCUGACAUGUAGGUGAAGCCCCUGCGGGUGGAGCUGAAGUCAGUCGAAGAUACCAGCUGGCUGCAACUGUUUAUUAAAAACACAGCACUGUGCAAACACGAAAGUGGACGUAUACGGUGUGACGCCUGCCCGGUGCCGGAAGGUUAAUUGAUGGGGUUAUCGCAAGAGAAGCUCCUGAUCGAAGCCCCGGUAAACGGCGGCCGUAACUAUAACGGUCCUAAGGUAGCGAAAUUCCUUGUCGGGUAAGUUCCGACCUGCACGAAUGGCGUAAUGAUGGCCAGGCUGUCUCCACCCGAGACUCAGUGAAAUUGAACUCGCUGUGAAGAUGCAGUGUACCCGCGGCAAGACGGAAAGACCCCGUGAACCUUUACUACAGCUUGACACUGAACAUUGAGCCUUGAUGUGUAGGAUAGGUGGGAGGCUUUGAAGCGUGGACGCCAGUCUGCGUGGAGCCAACCUUGAAAUACCACCCUUUAAUGUUUGAUGUUCUAACCUGGCGCCCUGAUCGGGCGUGGGGACAGUGUCUGGUGGGUAGUUUGACUGGGGCGGUCUCCUCCCAAAGUGUAACGGAGGAGCACGAAGGUCAGCUAAUCCUGGUCGGACAUCAGGAGGUUAGUGCAAUGGCAUAAGCUGGCUUGACUGCGAGAGUGACGGCUCGAGCAGGUGCGAAAGCAGGUCAUAGUGAUCCGGUGGUUCUGUAUGGAAGGGCCAUCGCUCAACGGAUAAAAGGUACUCCGGGGAUAACAGGCUGAUACCGCCCAAGAGUUCAUAUCGACGGCGGUGUUUGGCACCUCGAUGUCGGCUCAUCACAUCCUGGGGCUGAAGUAGGUCCCAAGGGUAUGGCUGUUCGCCAUUUAAAGUGGUACGCGAGCUGGGUUUAGAACGUCGUGAGACAGUUCGGUCCCUAUCUGCCGUGGGCGCUGGAGAAUUGAGGGGGGCUGCUCCCAGUACGAGAGGACCGGAGUGGACGCAUCACUGGUGUUCGGGUUGUCAUGCCAAUGGCACUGCCCGGUAGCUAAAUGCGGAAGAGAUAAGUGCUGAAAGCAUCUAAGCACGAAACUUGCCCCGAGAUGAGUUCUCCCUGAGACUAUAAGUCUCCUGAAGGAACGUUGAAGACGACGACGUUGAUAGGCCGGGUGUGUAAGCGCAGCGAUGCGUUGAGCUAACCGGUACUAAUGAACCGUGAGGCUUAACCUUACAACGCCAAAGAAGU